AGAGUUUGAUCAUGGCUCAGAUUGAACGCUGGCGGCAUGCUUUACACAUGCAAGUCGAACGGCAGCACAGGGAGCUUGCUCCCGGGUGGCGAGUGGCGCACGGGUGAGUAAUACAUCGGAACGUGUCCUAUUGUGGGGGAUAACUGCUCGAAAGGGUGGCUAAUACCGCAUGAGACCUGAGGGUGAAAGCGGGGGAUCGCAAGACCUCGCGCAAUUGGAGCGGCCGAUGCCCGAUUAGCUAGUUGGUGAGGUAAAGGCUCACCAAGGCGACGAUCGGUAGCUGGUACUCGAGACGGACGACCAGCCACACUGGGACUGACGACACGGCCAGACUCCGACGGAGGCA
rnacentral:rRNA from 1 species